rnacentral:rRNA from 1 species
AUGGGCAACAGAGAGUUUGACAAGAUGGUGGAGCAGGGAGCUGGCUUGGAUUUGAAGAAGCAAGGGGGUAAAAGUGAUUGGCAGCAUGGGUAUGAAGAAACAAGAGAAAUUUUGAUAGAUUUAACAAACAGGUGUGUGGUAAGUGCAAAGACCCCAGACACACCACCAAGGAUUGCAUGGGUGGGACACUGCUUGAUCUGUGGCAGAGAGAAUCAUAUUACAGGGGAGUGCAACUUGCUGAAACAGGUUAAACCAGUCCCAAAAUAUUUAGGGUAUGCAGCUAAAGGGCUGGGAAUUCUUCUGGUUCAGAGUUAUAAAGAUGUCCUGAUAGCAGAACAUACCAAUCCUUUGGGUGUGGUGAUCAUAAGAGAAGGAAGCAUUAAUGAGACUGAACUGGUGAAAGCUAUGGAGAAAAUGUUUGACUGGGGCUGGCAAUGGAGAGUAAGGGAAUUUGGAAAGAAUGGAUACAUGAUGAGAUUUCCCAAUAAAGCAAAGUUGGUGGAGCUAGCCAAGUUUAAUGACUUUAAACUGCUGGGGACAGGGGUGAUGAUCAAGGUUCAACCCUGGUCCCUUGAUCAUCAAGCUGUUGGGAAGAUGCACACCAUUUGGGUCAGGUUGGCCAAAGUCCUAGAUUGUUUCAGACAUUUUUUGGGUGUUUGUGAGGUGGCUACUGCAGUUGGACCUGUCCUGGAGAUUGAUAUGGAUACUAUAAAUGAGGAGAAAAUUAGAGCAAAGUGUGGGAUCAGAGAUGUGGAGAAAUUGCCAACUCAAGUGGAAAUCACUUCCCCUGAUCUUCUCAUGUUUAGAAUUGGGGUGGAGGCUGAGAAGGUGGUGGAGAUUGGUUGGUACAAAGAUGAGAAGAGGAAAAAUGAUGGUAAUAAUCUCUCAGAAGGGGGGGAAGAAGAGAUUGACAACAGGAAGAGGACUAGAAUGGGGGACAAUGAACAUAGAGGGGUUUCCUUUGGAUGCUUAUCCCUGAAACAAAGUGAGGAGGUUGAUAUAAGAAUUGGAGGAAUGAAAGCUCAAGUGAAAGAAACCAUGAUGCAGUGGCAAAAAGAGAUGGCUGUGGAGAGAGGAAAAUGGCAAAAAGAGAGUGAAAUCAUGUUCAGUAAAAUCAAAACCUUGGAGGAGGACAAGAUUAGAAACAAUGCUCUAUGGGCUAAAAAUGAAAACAGAAUCAGAGAAUUAGAAAAAAUUCAGACAGAGUUGCAGGAGAUUAGUAGAAAACAACUUGAAGAAAUCCAGAAGUUGGCGCAAGAGGCUGCUAAUAGAGAGGAGUAUGAAAUGGAGUUAGCUAAUAUGGACCUUGAAGAUUAUGAGAAAGAGACUCAAGAGAAAAAGGAAGAUACUGAGUCUGGGAAAUAUAAUGAGCCCACUGAUUAUAAUGCUAGCCAAGAAUCUAUUGGGACCUUGGGGGAGAAAAUGGCUGAAAUACAUGGAAGUGAGAUCCUGGAUAAAGAGAGGGAGGAGAAAGAUGUUGAGAUCAAGAGAAGCAUGAGAAACAAAGGAAAAGAAGACAAGAAAAUUGAGGAUAUGGCUAAAAGCAGAGCUGAGGAGAGAGACAAUUAUGAUAAAGGAGCCACCAAGAAAAGCGUUGGAGCUGGGAGCAAGGGUGCUAGAGCAGGCAGCAAAUGA